rnacentral:rRNA from 1 species
CCUACGGGUGGCAGCAGUGAGGAAUAUUGGUCAAUGGACGAGAGUCUGAACCAGCCAAGUAGCGUGAAGGCUGACUGCCCUAUGGGUUGUAAACUUCUUUUAUAUGGGAAUAAAAUGUUCCACGUGUGGGAUUUUGUCUGUACCAUAUGAAUAAGGAUCGGCUAACUCCGUGCCAGCCGCCGCUGUAAUACGGAGGAUCCGAGCGUUAUCCGGAUUUAUUGGGUUUAAAGGGAGCGUAGGUGGAGUGUUAAGUCAGUUGUGAAAGUUUGCGGCUCAACCGUAAAAUUGCAGUUGAAACUGGCAGUCGUGAGUACAGUAGAGGUGGGCGGAAUUCGUGGUGUAGCGGUGAAAUGCUGAGAUAUCACGAAGAACUCCGAGUGCGAAGGCAGCUCACUGGACUGCAACUGACACUGAGGCUCGAAAGUGUGGGUAUCAAACAGGAUUAGAUACCCGAGUAGUC